CCAGAUGCCAAAUGGAUUUUGCAGCUGUAGUAGCUCUUGGAUACCUUCACUACAUUUCUUUGUGUAUGUCAGAGGUUGAAUAGAACUGGUGCCUCCCUGCUUUAUCAGAGAAUGAACACGGGUUUUCUCCCACCAAAACUACCAGGAAGAAGGAGGAGGCACAAGAUGGAUUGCCACAUUUGUAGAUGAAAUGCUGAGAGGUUGUGGUGGCGGCGGCGAAGGAGGAUUAUUUCUGUAGAGAAAGGUGGGGGUCCCCCACCCAGCUGUAGUAGACUGCACUAGCCCAAAGCAUGGACAUCUGCAGUCAGAAAAAAUGAUUCAUAAGGAGUUUAGGGAUUUGGGACUAUUGGGAGGAUUUAGUGGGUCUUUUUUAAGGAACCCUGGUGGUGAAGUGUGUUAAAGCACUGAGCUUCUGAACUUGCAAACCAAAAGGUCACAGGUUCAAAUCCUGGGAGUGGAGUGAGCGCCCGCUAUUAGCUCCAGCUUCUGCCAACCUAGCAGUUCGAAAACAUGCCAAUGUGAGUAGAUCAAUAGGUACUGCUCCAGUGGGAAGGUAACGGCGCUCCAUGCAGUCAUGCCGGCCACAUGACCUUGGAGGUGUCUACGGACAACACCAGCUCUUCGGCUUAGAAAUGGAGAUGAGCACCAACCCCCAGAGUCAGACAUGACUGGAGUUAACAUCAGGGGAAACCUUUACCUAUGUUUAAUUACCUAUGUUAAUUUUAUCAAUACUUGUAUGUAUGUAUUUUUAUCCUUUACAAUUUUAUCUUGUAAAUCGCCUAGAGCAUUGUGGAUGGAGGGCGAUUAAUAAGUAAUUAAAUGAUGAUGAUGAUGAUGAUGAUGAUGAUGAUGAUGAUGUUCUUCACAAAGAGCUUGCCCAUCUCAAAUCUAAAUGGUUUGAGAUCAGAAUAAUUAAAGGGCUGGUUCUUCCUAUAUGAUCUUGCUAUAUGACUACAUUCAGCAGGAGUGGCUAAAAUGUGUGUCCGCUGUCCAGCCACUUUUAGAGGAAUGAUUGGUGGAGUUGUGAGACUGAGUCCUACCUGUACAGGCCAGAUGUUCCAGAAUGAAAUGGAUUAUAAAGGGUGUUGGUAGUGCUAAGCUCACAUCCCUAAUGCACUCUGCAACAACAUCCACAUAGAAGACACAUGUUUAAAAAGUCAGGAGGAAUUCCUACAUUGGCAAUAAAAUAUGCUGCAGCUGAUCAGUGUAUGGACUGUAGAGUAGAAAUUUAGAAGGAACAUGCACAGCACUCAUGUAAAGAAGCACGACCACUGGAAGAUUUGGAUAAAAGAACUGGAUAUGGCAUUCUCAGGAAAGUAAACAAGCACCUUUUCCCUCCUCCCUGAGAGGAAAUUUCUCUCUCCCCCCCCCUUUUUUUUUUUUAGUUGGAAGAUGAGUUCCAUUGCUGAUUCUCAUCCAAUGAGUUGUUGCAGUUCACCAUAUUUCUCCCAAUGAGGUAUGAAAAAAAAGUUCUGUUGGAUCAAUUUGUCAUUACAGGGAGCUUUGGAGAUGCCGAAGCUUUUUGACUCUCUGGAGUGGAACUGUUUUUUUUUACAUCCACAUUUUGAUUCGGAUUUAUGUGGCUGUGUAGAAACAGAUAGUGUCUUCUCUAUUGUAGCAUUAGAAUGUGAAAUUUUCUCCCUUGGGAAAGUUUGCUGGUCCCUCUCUUUUUUCUGUCCUGCUCUUCUUGGCUUUACUGGAUGAAGACGGUUUUAGUAAUUUGGACUGUUUGUUCAUUGUGCAUUUUGUAUUUUUAUGCCCUUUUCAAUUUUGGUUUAUAAAGAAAGGUGCUUGAAUUUCUAAAUAAAAAUAGAGUUUGUUGACUAAAAGACACUUUGCAUAAUUUGAUUUUGAGGUUUCUACAUUCUCAAAAGAGCAUGCUUUUUUCCUUUACAUUGUGCUACUCAAGCUCCAGAUAGCAAACAAGACAAAUUCAGAAGGUGUACAAAGCACCAAAAGCAUAAUUUCUCUCACUCAUUUCAUGGUUUAUUAUGCUCUUUAUUUUUUCUUGUACCAGAAGAGGCCCACAUUUUAAUGAUUACCAUUCUACACAUUUAACAUAUUCACAGUGAUGGAGUUCAUUUAUCAUCUUUAAAUAUCCUCUUUUACAGGCCUCCUUCUCUUUCUUUAAAAAAGUAUUGUGAUUUAAAGGCAGAAAGUUUCUUUGCAGCUUUAUGCACUAUUUUAUGUGUUUUUUUU